AUUGAACGCUGGCGGCAUGCUUUACACAUGCAAGUCGAACGGCAGCGGGGUAGUGCUUGCACUACUGCCGGCGAGUGGCGAACGGGUGAGUAAUAUAUCGGAACGUACCGAGUAAUGGGGGAUAACCAAUCGAAAGAUUGGCUAAUACCGCAUACGUCCUGAGGGAGAAAGCGGGGGAUCGCAAGACCUCGCGUUAUUCGAGCGGCCGAUAACUGAUUAGCUAGUUGGUGGGGUAAAGGCCUACCAAGGCGACGAUCAGUAGCGGGUCUGAGAGGACGAUCCGCCACACUGGGACUGAGACACGGCCCAGACUCCUACGGGAGGCAGCAGUGUGGAAUUUUGGACAAUGGGGGCAACCCUGAUCCAGCCAUGCCGCGUGUAUGAAGAAGGCCUUCGGGUUGUAAAGUACUUUUGUUAGGGAAGAAAAGGGAAGUGCUAAUACCACUUUUUGCUGACGGUACCUAAAGAAUAAGCACCGGCUAACUACGUG
rnacentral:rRNA from 1 species